GAUGAAGAACGCAGCGAAAUGCGAAAAGUAAUGUGAAUUGCAGAAUUCAGUGAAUCAUCGAAUCUUUGAACGCACAUUGCGACCGCUGGUACUCCGGCGGGCACGCCUGUCCGAGCGUCAUUUCAACCCUCAAGCCCUCCUUCGGGAUGGGCCUGGUGUUGGGGCUCGGCCGCCAUCUCCGGCGGCCGUCCCCUAAAUACAGUGGCGGUCACGUCGCGACUCCUUUGCGUAGUAGAAACACCUCGCUCCGGAUAGCAACGCGGUCCACGCCGUAAAACCCCCAAUUUUCAAUGGUUGACCUCGGAUCAGGUGGGAAUACCCGCUGAACUUAAGCAUAUCAAUAAGCGGAGGA
rnacentral:misc_RNA from 1 species